GCUAACGUAGCUUAAUUAAAGCAUAGCACUGAAGAUGCUAAGAUGGGCCUUAAAAAGCUCCGCUAGCA
rnacentral:tRNA from 1 species